rnacentral:lncRNA from 1 species
AUGGUGGAAGGAAAUGUUACCACUGACUUGGAGAUAAAAAUGAGCCCCCAAGGAGGAGAAAGCCAAAGUGCCAAAAGCUUCAUCACCACUGCUGGUUCCUCCAUGAAAAAGGAUUCUGCAGCCACGGUGAUCGAAGUGAGAGAUGUUCGUGUUAAAAGCACCGAAGGUGCACUCAGCAAGGCUGAUCACGGGUGCAGUGAAAGCAGAGCCAGACCACCGCAACACCUCCAUCAGGUGCAGAGCUCAAGGGAGAAUCCCCAGGAACAGUCUCCACGAAGGCACGCAGAUGCAGCGAUGGGACCUCAUGAUGGAUUGUUGGUGUGUGCAUGUGGACAUGAAACCGUGAACAGAGGAAUUUGCACAGCUGCCCAAGCCAGCUUACAUGCUGAUCAGGAUCUGCUGCAGCCUGGGAAUAAUCUGGCACCAGCUUCUUGGGCAGGCGCGUAA